rnacentral:misc_RNA from 1 species
GAAAUGCGAUAAGUAAUGUGAAUUGCAGAAUUCAGUGAAUCAUCGAAUCUUUGAACGCUCAUUGCGCCCGCCAGUAUUCUGGCGGGCAUGCCUGUUCGAGCGUCAUUUCAACCAUCAAGCCCCCGGGCUUGUGUUGGGGACCUGCGGCUGCCGCAGGCCCCGAAAACCAGUGGCGGGCUCGCUGUCACACCGGGCGUAGUAGAUUUUUCGUCUCGCCCAGGGCGUGCUGCGGGUUCCGGCCGUUAAAAAGCCUCUCUUUUAACCCAAGGUUGACCUCGGAUCAGGUAGGAAGACCCGCUGAACUUAAGC